UUUUUUUUUAUUUGUUUAUUAUGCUUAUGACUCAAAUGUUACUGCCAUGAACGUAGGAGACUUAGGGAAACAGAACACUUGUCUACCACUCUACCUCAUUUAUAUCGAUCAAACUAAAACUUAUAAAAACUACCACUCCACAUUUUUAAAUUUUUACAAACUUAUAAAAAUAUAUUUCUAUUUUUUAAAUGUUUUUUUUAAAAAAUCGAAGUCUUUCCCUAUAUCAACCGAAAC
rnacentral:lncRNA from 1 species